GACAGAGGGUGCAAACGUUGCUCGGAAUUACUGGGCGUAAAGCGCGUGUAGGCGGACUGGUGUGUCGGAUGUGAAAUCCCCAGGCUCAACCUGGGAACUGCAUUCGAAACUGCCAGCCUUGAGUGGUGGAGAGGGAAGUGGAAUUCCUGGUGUAGAGGUGAAAUUCGCAGAUAUCAGGAGGAACACCGGUGGCGAAGGCGGGUCUCUAGGCCGACACUGACGCUGAGGAGCGAAAGCGUGGGGAGCGAACAGG
rnacentral:rRNA from 1 species